AGUCGCCUCUGAAACCCCUCAUUCCCUCAAACUUUCUCGAAGCUUCUCAAACCCUAGCCUCCUUCCACCGCUUCCGCCCUGAAAGCCACCAGAAUCCAUUGCUUCCAAGGCUAUGGAAACCUUACACCGGCCUCCUAUGGCUCCCACACGCCUGAUUUAUGAAGAUUCAAGGCCUGAACAUGAAGGGUCGUAUCCAGACCUCUGUCGAUUCGAAGUUUCAUGGUCAUCUCCGACUUUGCUCCGGUGCACCAUGGUUGUUUGAGCCUGAUUCUGACCUCUCCGACUCAGAUCGGUGACUUUUUAAAGCCUUUCUCAUUUCUAGGGUUCUUCUGAAACCCUAACCCUUCGAGGCUUUCUCCGAUUCUUUUAGAUCUAUUGUGUAUCUAUACUUUCCCUAAGUUUCAAAUGAUUUCUCUGGCUUUUCUUUCAAAAUUACUUUCAGAACCAUUUCUUUUCCGAUCUAGGAUUUUUUGGAAAAAUGUUUAAGUGUUUCUCUGACUUUCUUUCUUUUUUUUCUUUGUGUGUAUUUGCCUCUACUGUGAUCUUGUAUUUCUCUUUUACCAUGUUCUUGCAUGCUUCUCCUACUGUGUUUUCCUAUACUAAGUUCUCGCAUGCUUUUCUACUUUAUUUCUUUUCUCUUGUGUUCUUGUGUUUCUUCUACUGUAUUUUUUCAGCUCUUAAGUUUCCUUAUUAAGUUCUUUCUACUGAGUUCUGUUUAAGUUUCUUCUAAAAGCUUCUUAACAUGUUUUUGCUACUGUUCUUAUUAGUCUUUUCCAUUAUGUUUUAUAUUAGCUUCUUCUACUCUAUUUUCUUUGAAUUCUUCUACUAUGUUCUGCGUGUUACUUGCUAUCAUUGUUUUCCCAUGAGUUUCUGCUGCUGAAAGAAACAUGCAAUGGGUCUCAGUUCUUCUCUGAGACCUCUGAGCCUGUUUCGAUCACUUGCCUUCUCAUCUCUGUACUCGGUUAAUGGUGGAAACCCUAGAAUUUGGGGGUUCUUCCAAGUUUGGUUAUGUGAUUGGCUUGAACUAGGGUUUUAUUUCAGAACCCCUAAUUCUUUCAGACCAAUUUCGGGUUUGUGAACUGAGUUUGGACAUCUUUUGAUUCUGGCUUUUUGCUAAACCCUUCUACACUAGAUUUUUCUACUGAUUUUACAAUGACACCACAGUCUUUUUCAUGCUUAACAUGUUCGUAUGCUCCUUAUAUAUGAUGAGUUUCCCUCUAAAAUGGUUUUCAAAUUUGCAAUUAGUUCAAACUUCCUUUUGAAUAUGGCUUGAUUGAUUUCUUUCCAUUGUUUGCUGAUUUUCUCUGUGACUCGACCUAAGUUUAAACCCUUCUUCAUCUUUUCUGACUCGGUUCAUUCAUGCAAAAUCUCAGACCCUCUUGAUUUACUGCUUGUUAAUUGAUUUGCUUACCUUUUUUGCACAAACAAGGAAGUCCUGUGUAAUUGAUUGACAAUCAGUUCCUCAACUAUUUUCUUACCUUAUUUCUGCCUGAUUUUACACUAUUAAAAGGCACGACCCUCUUCACAAACAAUAAGACACAUUCACAAUCCUUCUGAACUCUUACUUCCACAUAAUAGUAUUCUCUCUUCUUGUCCGCACUGUGGCUUUUACAAGACUACUGCAUUUUCUCUAUUUAUUUCUUUGAAACUUGUAUGUCCUAAUUUAAGCUUCAGUAUCAUCACAAUGUGUUCAUUUACAGCUUUAAUAUCCAUGUCUACUUUACCGUUUCUGCUGUGAAUCCUUGCUCCCUAUCCCUAUUGCCCCUAUGUGUUUGAGAGUUGUGACUUAAGGCAUGGCAAUGUGAGUUGUUGCCCAUGAAUUAAGUUUUAACAAAUGGGGUCUUAACCUCUAAGAAAACAGGCUGGAGGGUGUGCCAGCAUCUCCCAUUGCUGGGUAUGCCCAUCAGCCUGCUUUUCUUUUGCUCUUGCAAAUUUCCCCACUCCCCUACACCGUUAUGUGUACUGAUUUUAAGUUAUUCACUUUUUCCCUUUCCCCUUUCAGAAUGCUACUUUCACACUUGCACUCCCUCUUAGUUCCUAAGUUCUGCCCCCUCUUGUGAGCCUUGCCUUGGGACCUUGAGUUUCCUCUGAACUUGGACACCUGAGGGCUGACCCUUCCAC
rnacentral:lncRNA from 1 species